rnacentral:rRNA from 1 species
GACGAACGCUGGCGGCGCGCCUAACACAUGCAAGUCGAACGAGAGAGAAGGAGCUUGCUUCUUCGAUCGAGUGGCGAACGGGUGAGUAACGCGUGAGGAACCUGCCUCAAAGAGGGGGACAACAGUUGGAAACGACUGCUAAUACCGCAUAAGCCCACGGGUCGGCAUCGACCUGAGGGAAAAGGAGCAAUCCGCUUUGAGAUGGCCUCGCGUCCGAUUAGCUAGUUGGUGAGGUAACGGCCCACCAAGGCGACGAUCGGUAGCCGGACUGAGAGGUUGAACGGCCACAUUGGGACUGAGACACGGCCCAGACUCCUACGGGAGGCAGCAGUGGGGAAUAUUGCACAAUGGGGGAAACCCUGAUGCAGCGACGCCGCGUGGAGGAAGAAGGUCUUCGGAUUGUAAACUCCUGUUGUUGAGGAAGAUAAUGACGGUACUCAACAAGGAAGUGACGGCUAACUACGUGCCAGCAGCCGCGGUAAAACGUAGGUCACAAGCGUUGUCCGGAAUUACUGGGUGUAAAGGGAGCGCAGGCGGGAAGACAAGUUGGAAGUGAAAUCUAUGGGCUCAACCCAUAAACUGCUUUCAAAACUGUUUUUCUUGAGUAGUGCAGAGGUAGGCGGAAUUCCCGGUGUAGCGGUGGAAUGCGUAGAUAUCGGGAGGAACACCAGUGGCGAAGGCGGCCUACUGGGCACCAACUGACGCUGAGGCUCGAAAGUGUGGGUAGCAAACAGGAUUAGAUACCCUGGUAGUCCACACCGUAAACGA